rnacentral:rRNA from 1 species
CUCAGGAUGAACGCUGGCGGCGUGCUUUAGGUAUGCAAGUCAAGCGGUUCCGCUUCGGCGGAAUAGCGGCAGACGGGUGAGUAACGCGUAGGAACGUACCCUUUGGUGGGGAAUAGCCAGNCGAAAGGUUGGGUAAUACCGCAUAACAUCGUAAGAUAAAAGGGCAUAACUGCCCACCGAAGGAACGGCCUGCGUCCUAUCAGCUUGUUGGUGAGGUAAUGGCUCACCAAGGCAACGACGGGUAGCUGGACUGAGAGGUUGGUCAGCCACAGUAGCACUGAGACACGGGCUACACACCUACGGGUGGCAGCAACCGGGAAUCUUGCGCAAUGGGCGAAAGCCUGACGCAGCGACGCCGCGUGGAGGAUGAAGGCCUUCGGGUUGUCAACUCCUUUUCUCGUGGAAAAUAAUGAUGGUACACGAGGAAUAAGCACCAGCAAACUACGUGCCAGCAGCGGCGGUGAUUCGUAGGGUGCAAGCGUUAUCCGGAUUUAUUGNGCGUAAAGGGUUUCGUAGGCGGUCUGGAAAGUUACUGGUUAAAGCCUCUUGCUCAACAAGAGAUCGGCCAGUAAUACUCUCAGACUAGAAGCGGUUCGGGGGUGUUGGAACUGGCGGUGGAGGGGUGAAAUCCAUUGAGAUCGCCAGGAACACCGAGAGCGAAGGCAGACACCUAGGACCGUCUUGACGCUGANGAACGAAAGCUAGGGGAGANAACUGGAUUAGAGACCCAGGUAUUCCUAGCUGUAAACGAUCCUCGCUAGCUGGUCCUAGCUUUUAGAGUUGGGAGUGGCGUAAGCUAACGCNUUAAGCGAGGCGCCUGGGGAGUACGGCCGCAAGGCUAAAACUCAAAGGAAUUNGCGGGGACCUGCACAACCAGCGGAGCAUGUGGUUUAAUUCGAUACGAAGCGUAGAACCUUACCUGGACUUGACAUCCAGCACCUAAUGCUNNNCCGAAAAGAGAAAGAACCGCGUUUAACGCGGGGUGCUGAACAGCUGCUGCAUGGUUGUCGUCAGCUCUAGUCGUGAGAUGUUCCCUUAAGUGGGGUAUAGAGCGCAACCCCCGUCCUAUGUUGUAGAUCAUGGGAGACUGCCUUGCGUUUAACGCGGGGAGGAAGGUGGGGAUGACGUCAAAUCAGCAUGGCGCUUAUGUCCAGGGCGACACACAUCCUACAAUGCCCGUGAAUAAAGGGUUGCCAAGCCGUAAGGCGGAGCUAAUCCCAAAAAAGCGGGCUCAGUUCGGAUUGUGGGCUGAAACCUGUCCACAUGAAGUUGGAGUUGGUAGUAAUCGCGGGUCAGCAGACCGCGGUGAAUACGUUCUCAGGUCUUGCACACACUGCCCGUCAAGCCAGCAAAGUCGGGAGUGGCCGAA